UGCGCAGGUGGGCUUGUAAGUCAGUGGUGAAAUACUACCGCUUAACGGUAGAACUGCCAUUGAUACUGCAAGUCUUGAAUAUGGUUGAGGUAGGCGGAAUGUGUCGUGUAGCGGUGAAAUGCAUAGAUAUGACACAGAACGCCGAUUGCGAAGGCAGCUUACUAAGCCAUUAUUGACGCUGAGGCACGAAAGCGUGGGGAGCGAACAGGAUUAGAUACCCUGGUAGUCC
rnacentral:rRNA from 1 species